CUUAGACUAAGGUUCGAUUCGAGCGUCAGCGAGAAAGCGUUGCCGCAGGCAACGACCCGAAGGGCGAAGCGCGCAGCGCUGAGUCAUCCUUCCCCCACCACCA
rnacentral:sRNA from 1 species